GUGCCUGACACCCAGCAAGUUCUCAAAACACAGAGCAGGCAUUAUUACUGUCAUCGAACCCAGACCUGUCCCAUGUGUGGCACCCAGAGCAUCCACAGCCUCACUCAACAGCUCCAGGAAGUAACCCACAGAGGGAAGGACAAGGAAAAAAUUAUAAAUCAAUUAGCUGAAGUGAUACAUCAAAAGGAAGAGAAAGCAAAACAAGAAAGAAGCUUAUGCCCAAAACAGAGCAAGAGCAAAAGAACUUCAUAAGUGGAGCAGUUCCGCCCUGACCCCAACUUUCCCAUUUAAGACACACCCAACAGGAGCUGCUGAACUGAAUUUUUAUUCUCUUUACAGAAAAUACUAGACUGCUCGAUCUUUUAAACUUAUGAAUUAUUAUUGUUUCUUUAUGAGCGUAUGUUUACAGUAUAUAAUAAUCUCGCUCUUCGUGGGCCGUUGGUACAGGUACACAACGCAUAUAUCCUCUCUCCCUUCUCUCCCUCCCCCUC
rnacentral:lncRNA from 1 species